UGCCCAGCAACUCCUAUCCCUACCUCCUCGUGGUACUGGCCGGGAUACGAGCUACCUAAGGGAAGC
rnacentral:ribozyme from 1 species